rnacentral:rRNA from 1 species
UUAUGAAAAAUCUGAUCUGCUCUAUGUAAAUGGCCGCGGUAUUUUGACUGUGCUAAGGUAGCAUAAUAAUUAGCUUUUUGAUUGGGGGCUUGAAUGAAGGAUUGGACGAGAGGAUGACUGUCUAAAGAGAUUGAAAUUUGAGGAGUGUGAGAAUACAUGAGGGACGAGAAGACCCCGUUGAGUUUUAUUAUUUUGCUGGGGCGGUAAUGAUGAUUAAGGGAUUAAAUUACCACGGGGAUAACAGCGUAAUAUUUUUGGAGAGAUCUUAUUGAUAAAAGUGUUUGUGACCUCGAUGUUGAAUUAAGACUUCUGGGUGUAGGACCUUUAAAUCUUUACA